UGAUCCUGGCUCAGAUUGAACGCUAGCGGGAUGCCUUACACAUGCAAGUCGAACGGCAGCACGGACUUCGGUCUGGUGGCGAGUGGCGAACGGGUGAGUAAUGUAUCGGAACGUGCCUAGUAGCGGGGGAUAACUACGCGAAAGCGUAGCUAAUACCGCAUACGCCCUACGGGGGAAAGCAGGGGAUCGCAAGACCUUGCACUAUUAGAGCGGCCGAUAUCGGAUUAGCUAGUUGGUGGGGUAANGGCUCACCAAGGCGACGAUCCGUAGCUGGUUUGAGAGGACGACCAGCCACACUGGGACUGAGACACGGCCCAGACUCCUACGGGAGGCAGCAGUGGGGAAUUUUGGACAAUNGGGGAAACCNUGAUCCAGCCAUCCCGCGUGUGCGAUGAAGGCCUUCGGGUUGUAAAGCACUUUUGGCAGGAAAGAAACGUCAUGGGCUAAUACC
rnacentral:rRNA from 1 species